CCCUAUCUAGCUCAACUGGUAGAGCAUGGCAUGAACACUGCUAGGGUUAGGGGUUCGAAUCCCUGUCUAGC